rnacentral:rRNA from 1 species
GCAGAGACUAAGCCUCGUACCUUUUGCAUCAUGAUCUAGCCAGUAAUUUNCAAGCGAAGAGACCUCUAGUUUGAACCCCCGAAACCGGACGAGCUACUUCGGGACAGCCUAUUGCAGGGCCAACCCGUCUCUGUGGCAAAAGAGUGGGAAGAUCCCCGAGUAGAGGUGAAAGAUCUACCGAGUCAGGUUAUAGCUGGUUACCCAGGAAAUGAAUAGAAGUUCAGCCCCGCCGAACCCUCAUACACAACAGUUUUACUUGAAUUAAGUUAUUAGGAUACCCGCGGGAGUUAGUCAAAGGAGGUACAGCUCCCUUAACAAAGGAUACAACCUUCACAGGAGGCUAAGGAAUUCAUCAAACCAAGGCCACAGGUUUUAGUGGGCCUAAAAGCAGCCAUCUGAAUAGAAAGCGUUAAAGCUCAAACCAAAAAAAGCCUAUUAUAUUAUCAUUUUAUCCUCAAUGCCCCUAAAGAUACUGGGCCUCCCUAUGCUCACAUAGGAAAGACCAUGCUAGAACGAGUAAUAAGAAGAACGAACUUCUCCCCGCACAUGUGUAAGUCGAAUCGGACCACCCAUCGACAAUUAACGAACCCAAUAAAAGAGGGCCAUGCAUAAUUGCUGUACCAGGCCAAGAAAACCAUGCAAAACCUAAUCGUUACCCCCACACAGGAGUGCUAAAAACUAAGGGAAAGACUUAAAGAAGGAAAAGGAACUCGGCAAACCUAAACCUCGCCUGUUUACCAAAAACAUCGCCUCCUGCCCACUCAGCAUAGGAGGUCCCGCCUGCCCUGUGACCAAAAGU